AGCGAACGUUUGCGGCGGGCCUAACACAUGCAAGUCGAACGCACUAGCAAUAGUGAGUGGCGCACGGGUGCGUAACACGUGGGUAAUCAACCCUUCAGCUUGGGAUAACGACUUGAAAGGGUCGCUAAUACCGGAUACGGCGCGGGAGGCUUCGGCUUCUCACGAGAAAGCCUCGCAAGGGGCACUGAAGGACGAGCCUGCGGCCCAUCAGCUAGUUGGUGAGGUAAGAGCUCACCAAGGCGAAGACGGGUAGCUGGUCUGAGAGGAUGAUCAGCCACACUGGAACUGAGACACGGUCCAGACUCCUACGGGAGGCAGCAGUGGGGAAUAUUGCGCAAUGGGCGAAAGCCUGACGCAGCCACGCCGCGUGAGCGAUGAAGGCCUCGGGUCGUAAAGACUCUGUGGGGAGAGACGAAGAAAGACCCGUGAAGAGCGGGCCUUGACGGUAGUCUCCUUAGCAAGCACCGGCUAACUCCGUGCCAGCAGCCGCGGUAA
rnacentral:rRNA from 1 species